rnacentral:rRNA from 1 species
UGACGUUGGGAAAGCGAGCGGCGGAUGGGUGAGUAACACGUGGGGAACCUGCCCCUAAGUCUGGGAUACCAUUUGGAAACAGGUGCUAAUACCGGAUAAUAAAGCAGAUCGCAUGAUCAGCUUUUGAAAGGCGGCGUAAGCUGUCGCUAAGGGAUGGCCCCGCGGUGCAUUAGCUAGUUGGUAAGGUAACGGCUUACCAAGGCGACGAUGCAUAGCCGAGUUGAGAGACUGAUCGGCCACAUUGGGACUGAGACACGGCCCAAACUCCUACGGGAGGCAGCAGUAGGGAAUCUUCCACAAUGGACGCAAGUCUGAUGGAGCAACGCCGCGUGAGUGAAGAAGGUUUUCGGAUCGUAAAGCUCUGUUGUUGGUGAAGAAGGAUAGAGGUAGUAACUGGCCUUUAUUUGACGGUAAUCAACCAGAAAGUCACGGCUAACUACGUGCCAGCAGCCGCGGUAAUACGUAGGUGGCAAGCGUUGUCCGGAUUUAUUGGGCGUAAAGCGAGCGCAGGCGGAAAAAUAAGUCUAAUGUGAAAGCCCUCGGCUUAACCGAGGAACUGCAUCGGAAACUGUUUUUCUUGAGUGCAGAAGAGGAGAGUGGAACUCCAUGUGUAGCGGUGGAAUGCGUAGAUAUAUGGAAGAACACCAGUGGCGAAGGCGGCUCUCUGGUCUGCAACUGACGCUGAGGCUCGAAAGCAUGGGUAGCGAACAGGAUUAGAUACCCUGGUAGUCCAUGCCGUAAACGAUGAGUGCUAAGUGUUUGGGAGGGUUUCCGCCUCUCA